UGCACCGGCCAUCAAAGGGGGUAAAAAGGCAGGUGGGGGUGCAGGGUGCUCAGGGGAAGGCGAGGUGUGACGACACAAAUCUCAACCCUCCCCUUUUGCAGAGAGAGGCCAAAUCGGGGGCAGGGCGCAGGACCAGGGGUCGAGCACAGAGUCCAAGCGCUGCCGGAGGGGGCCCCGGGAUGCGGGCGGAGCGGAUAAAAGUAAUUGCAGACGGGGCAGUACGUUGUGACCCAUCUUCCACGUGCCUGCACAAGGACUGUGGGUUGUGCAGGGGGCUGUGCUCCCCAGAGCAUCCCUGUCCACUCCAGAGGAGGCAUCAGGGUUCUCCAAAAUCUGCUCUGGCUGCAGGACAUGGCGCCAUGCAGGAGAGUCAACGGCAGGUGCAGUCACAGACAUGAUGGCUAGCACAGCUACUGGUGGUGGAACUGAACCACCAACUGAACUCCCUGCUGCUAGCCCAUGCAUUCAGCAUCUGCUCCAGGAUCAAUCAGUCCUGUUCCACGUUCCUACACUCUUCAUCCAGGGACUUCUCCCUGCUCCCAUUGUGUCCUGCUUCUUCUUCACCCUCUUGAACUCCAGGCACUCUUUGCUCCUGCAUGCCACAACCCUGAAAAGGUCCUCUAUGUUCCUCAGUGUGGGCCAGUUUUAGGACCCAGUGCCCUGGGUGGGAGGCUUGGCCAAGCAGAAAGUGUCUGCCAGUGGAAUGAAACAAACAGCAUAUUAAUUGUAUUGCUGCAAGGAAAAAAAAAAAAAGAAUCCCCCCACUUUGCUUUCUCCAUCUACACAUGGCUGCGGGUUGCAACAUUUUGAAAUGUGUAUUUAAUCCUUUAUGAAUUCUCCUGUGCAGACCCUCCUACUUCUAGCAUCAGGAGAGCCCCACCCACACACCAUGAUAAGGAACAUUCAUUUUAUUUAAAAGAAAAAAAAGUGUUGAAAAAAAGCCACCCCUGGCUGAGGCAGGGCACAGUUACCAACUCGCUCUAACUUUGUUUCUGGCUGGGGAAGCCAUAGAAGAUAUACACAGGUGGCAGGUAUAAUAGGCCAGGGGAGGCUAAGCCUCCCCAACCCAGGCUGUGUGGCCCCUCCCAUGCUCCACCUUGAGGCCCCACCCUCACUCUCCCUCUCCCCAGCGGCUGUCGGGAGCUCAGCUUGGACUGGCGGCCUGCAGCUUGGGACAGCUGGUGGCCUGGCCCCAGGGGGGCUUGGGCUGGUGCUUGGGCCAGCCAACAGUCCAGGGGUUGGGCCAGUGCUCGGGCUGGCCGGGGCAUUGGUGCAGCUGGGGCGAGUGGGCAGGUGCUCCUCUGGCUGUGGGGGGCUUGGGGCUCCAGUAGGCGAGGGGGGUGAAGGGGCAGGAUCUCAGGUGAGGCCAGGAGGCUAGCACCCCCGAAGCGGGGGGGUUUCACGUGCCACCCAUGAAGAUAUACAUCUUUUGGAAAUAUUAGAAUGGAAGAAGGAAGUAGUUUUCCAGGUAAGUGGUGGGACCCCAUUAUCUAAUGCAAAGGAGAUAUUUAGGUGGCUGAACAGCAAGUGAGCAAAUGGAGUGGUUUUACUGGAGGGGGCUGGGGGGAGAAAGUUCUCUCUACCCAGACAUCUGAACAAUUGUUUGGAAUUCCUGCUGCGGGGGGGGGGGGAGGUGAAUCAAGAUGUUGGAGUAGGAUUCAGAGUUUUGCAAGUGGCAGAGUGGAUUCCCCUCCCCCUCAUCUUCCCACCACAGCCUAGAAGUCCAGGAAGAGGCAGGAAGUAGGAAGAGGCAGCCAGCUAAGACUGUCUGCUGCAUGAAAUGUCAUCUAAAGUCACCUGGCAGAAGUGGAGGAAAAUCAGAACAAUAAAAUAACAGGCUGAGUGUAUAACAAGCAAUGAGGACCACAAAGAACUUCACCACUCUCUGAAACCCAAUGGAUUUAUAAACCUGUGCUGUAUGGGACUGUGCAGUUUGCUAGCCAAAGUCUAAGUGUAACAUGACAUUAGCAUUCUUGAGUUACCACCAACUGCGCUUGCAAAGACAUGCACUCAUACCUCCUAGGCCUAUAAGCCUUUACUUGUUUUGCUAGCUAUAAUUGCAAACAGAGCUUGUCAGAGACAUUAGGGAGUUGUGGCUACAUUUUUUUUCUCCCUUUGGCAAAGUCAAAAGCCCUUGAGUUAGGAAAUGCCAGAAUGAACGCUGCCCAUGCAACCUUAAUUCAGUUUACUUGUGCCCAUGCAUUAUGAUGCAGCUUUAAUUACACACAGAAGAAACCAUCUGUGAACAGUUUGGUAUAAGUGACUUGGCAAGCAUCACAUAGGAACUCAGUGGCAGAAGCCGGACUAGAAACCAAACCUCCGAGGUGGUAGUCAACUGCCCUAACCACAAGCCCAUCCUUUCUCUCAUUGAAGGCCCCCCCAAACCUUCCAACUUCUGCAACAAAAAAGGCAGUAGUCCCACAGACAACAGCGUCCUUUACUACACAAUGGAUUCAUCUCCUGAGCAGCCCCAGCCUGUGCACUGACUGAGGCAGUGAUCUUGGGAAAAAAAUAAUACAGGUUCAUGUAAUUAAAGACUGUAUCAUAGUACAUAAGCACAAGGGGGGCAAAUUAAGAUGGCAUGCACAACAUUUAUUCUGGAAUUUCCUCCCUUGAGAGCCCUUGACUUUGCAACCUUUAAGAAUUAAACUUUGUAUUUCCUAAUUGUUAAUUAUUUAGUUUAUUGAUGAGAGCAGCCUUAACUAAUGCUAAAUGAGGGGUUUUUUUGUUUGUAAAUAUUUUUUUAAUAGAAACAAAAUCUUUUAUAUAUGUGCCAUUUAAAUAAUAAAACACAUUUAUUAGG